AGGUUAGAGAGUACCCGACAACAAUCAAAUCAUUUGAUGUGAAGAACCAUAUACAAAGAACACGUCUGCAAAAUUUUAGGUCAAUCAGAGUUGAAUCACCAUUUCGAUCGAAGUCAAAAGGUUGCAGCCAAAAGAAUUCUUAUAUUUUUUUUUCUCUUUGGGAGGUGGCGCUGCAUGCGUGUGUGCAGGUGAUCGGGAGGGAGAUAGCGAAAGAGAGGGCACUCUCUCAAAACCCUCACAUGGCCCAUUAAUGGUUGGGCCCUACAUGGGCUGAACCCAACAUGGACCAGGGAACAAGUGGCUUUUCUUAGCCU
rnacentral:lncRNA from 1 species